CAUUAUUCAAAACUCCUUUUAAAAAAAAAUGAAAGUAUAUCUUUGCACCAUUCUUCACACACAGAAUUAUACUAAAAGGUCGAGCUCAUGACAUAAAGCUCAAAAUACUGACAAUGAGCUCUGUCUUUAUGUUGUUAUACAGUUCAAUAGUUGCUUUAAAAUACCUUUAAAACAUUAAUACAUAUGAUGUAUAUCUAACCGAUUUAAACAACACCAAA
rnacentral:lncRNA from 1 species